rnacentral:rRNA from 1 species
GACGAACGCUGGCGGCGUGCUUAACACAUGCAAGUCGAACGGAAAGGCCCUGCUUUUGUGGGGUGCUCGAGUGGCGAACGGGUGAGUAACACGUGAGUAACCUGCCCUUGACUUUGGGAUAACUUCAGGAAACUGGGGCUAAUACCGGAUAGGAGCUCCUGCUGCAUGGUGGGGGUUGGAAAGUUUCGGCGGUUGGGGAUGGACUCGCGGCUUAUCAGCUUGUUGGUGGGGUAGUGGCUUACCAAGGCUUUGACGGGUAGCCGGCCUGAGAGGGUGACCGGCCACAUUGGGACUGAGAUACGGCCCAGACGCCUACGGGAGGCAGCAGUGGGGAAUAUUGCACAAUGGGCGGAAGCCGGAUGCAGCAACGCCGCGGGCGGGAUGACGGCCUUCGGGUUGUAAACCGCUUUCGCCUGUGACGAAGCGGGAGUGACGGUAAUGGGUAAAGAAGCACCGGCUAACUACGUG